rnacentral:rRNA from 1 species
UACGUAGGGGGCAAGCGUUUGUCCGGAAUUAUUGGGCGUAAAGAGCGUGUAGGCGGUCCGGUAAGUCAGCUGUGAAAGUCAAGGGCUCAACCCUUGAAUGCCGGUUGAUACUGUCGGGCUAGAGUCCGGAAGAGGCGAGUGGAAUUCCCGGUGUAGCGGUGAAAUGCGCAGAUAUCGGGAGGAACACCAAUGGCGAAGGCAGCUCGCUGGGACGUUA